rnacentral:tRNA from 1 species
UUCUCAUGCCGGGAAUAGAACCCGGGCCUUCUGGGUAAAAGCCAAAUAUCCUAGACCACGUGUAAAAUAAAAAAAA